rnacentral:rRNA from 4 species
GUCGUAACAAGGUCUCCGUAGGUGAACCUGCGGAGGGAUCAUUACCG